rfam:Triticum aestivum genome assembly, contig: Triticum_aestivum_CS42_TGACv1_scaffold_271606_3DS
GGGAUACUGCCCGUCUCGAAUUAGUUGCCUCAGAUUUGUCUAGAUACAGAUGUAUCUAGACACAUUUUAGUGUUAGGUACAUCCGUAUCUAGACAAAUCUAAGACAACUAAUUUGGGACGGAGUUAAUAUAUA